GCCUUGAGAGUUGAGACCCAUCAGAUGGGUUUAAUAGAUGGAUUCGUCCUCAUUAAUUUCAGGAAACAGCCCCUACCGUCUCUCUCCCCUUCCUUCUCCGGCGGCCCUUGCCAGUUCUCGACGUCUCCGGCGCAGCGAGGCUGGUGCCUCUCCUCCCCCCUCCUUUCUAUAUUCUCUCUUUCCCCAAUUUCUCAAAUUAAAGCUACCUAAGGUUCUCUCUAAAUUUCCCCUUUCAAUUCCACUUCUCCGGUGAACUCUGCCGCCGCCGCUGCUACUGCCUGAACGUCUCCGUGCCUCAGCCAUCGCAGACCGCCCUGGCUCGGGCCGCGCCGGCGGUCGCCGCCGUUGGACGCGCCCCAUCGCUGUGGCUCGCGGCUGGUGCUGGUGCCCCAUCAGAUCUGUGGACGAAUCCAUGGCAGAGAAGAAAAUGGGAACUGAAUCGACAAUGGUGGAAGGAAUUGUUGAGAUUGACCGGUUAACCGAACCAAAAACCAGUUCAAUUUUCGGUUAUCAUUUUGUCUGUGGUUCUGGUUAACAGGUAAACCGGUUCGGUUAUAACCGAACCGGACCGAUUACCAGCCCUAGCUAUAACGUAAGAAUUAUGUGAUAAAAAUAAAGAUAUGUAACAAUUCUCAUUCAAACAACUUAUAAAAACCUCAUAUAAAAUAAAUAUUGUCUAAAUAACACUAAACACUUGCUAGAGUCGCAUACGACAUUUAUUAUUCAAUUUAUAUUAUCCCAUAAUACAUUAUAUGUCUUAUUAAAUAUUCAACAUUCUUCAAAAGGAACCUUAAUAUUGAACAUAAAUUUAUGUUGAAAUAG